rnacentral:lncRNA from 1 species
GUUAAUUACAGAGUUCAACCAAUGGUACUAGAACAAAAAAAAAUACUAAAAUGGAUAAAGUAUUACAUUGUACAUCAACAGUCAGCACAAGAGCUGUUUGAGAAACAGUGACUUGACCAUGCUUGUAUAUUUUCACUAAAAAUCAUUAGAAUACUUAUUUUGAAAAGCUGAAGUCUUAGGCAUUUGGAUGAAUAUACAAAGGAAUUUCAAAAAGUGGAAAACAAAAUUAAAAGUUCAUCUUGGUGCAAAAAGUUUUGAACACAGUGAAUAAUUUUUUCAAAACACACACUUUCCCUAAACAGUUUGAAGACACUUCAUACUUCAGCUGCCAUCAAAACAAAAGUAGAAAAAUAAUUUUUUUCAUUCCAGUCAAUGAAGCUGGAUUAAUACAGUGAUACUAACUUGAACUAUAAAAAUUUUUAUGUAUAAGUCUACCAUGAUGACACUAUUUUAAUAGAAAUAUUUAUAAUCUGGAAUUAUUUUUUCAGAUUGUGUUUGCUCAUCUUGAGAUGAAGAUAAAGAAACAUGUCUCCCCCAAAUCUUCCUCUUAUUUCAACUCACUCCAAUCUUCUUAGUAUAUUUGAAUGGUGAAAGUGUGGUUCCAGAACAGGAGGAUGAAGUGGAAGAGGGUAAAAUUGGGCCAGCUGGGCACUGCUGCCUAAGAAAAGAACUGGUGAACGUGAAGAAAGGAACCCUGUUCCCUUCAGAGAUAUCAGGGAUCGGUGCAGCCAUGCUCCAGCA